rnacentral:misc_RNA from 1 species
AAGUCGUAACAAGGUAACCGUAGGUGAACCUGCGGUUGGAUCAUUAAAAAGAUCAGAAGCCCGCUGGAGGAUGUCCUCUAGUAGGCGUUUUCUCAUCCGGAAGGGGAGGGGACCUCCAAGUCUUCGAACCGGAAGGGUGCGGAGAAUCACAUCAUGUGAACCGUUCUGUCUCUGGCGGUGGGAUGGCUUCAAACCCCAUCUGUCAGCCUCCGAGGGUCUCCUCGGUGGGCCGUGGACAAGCCGCCAAUGGUGUAUGUUUCCAUACGAACCUCAUGCUUCUUUACAACUUGUCUGACACAUCUUUGUAUCGAAAUAUACAAAAACAACUUUUGGCAACGGAUCUCUUGGCUCCC